AGAAGCUCUUCAUUUGAACAAAACAGGUAAUUGCUGAAGUACAGCAUCCUUCCAGUAACAACACUGUGCUAGAGCCUAUUCCUCAUAGCACCCGGCCGCGCUGUGUGCUGCUGUUUCUGCAGGACAGCCUGCAGCAUGGGCAAGCCUCACGUGAGGCUGAAGGGCAGCUGGAGCACCGAACGCUCCCAUGUGAACUGGAGGUGUUUUCUUCUGGGAAGAUGGAGGCUGUGAUACUGGGGGCACCUGCUAGCAGAGCUGGCAGGGGAGUCACAAAUGACAAUAGUGACGUAGGAAUAGCGACUUAGGAGUUGAUUUAGCAAAUGGCAGAAAACCAGGUGCGGUCUGUGCUGUUAUUCCUGCCCUGGGAAGUGGAGGGUUAAUUUGCUGGUAAAAGCCUUUCUCAUGCCAAGCAAAGCUGCUGUUAAAACCUGUUAAAAAGGAGGAGACUGGGAGGUCAAGUGCUCUGGCUGGACCUACAUGUGGACAAGCUGCUGAACUGCAGAAAACAUUGCUGCCUUGUUACCAAGAAAGUGGUUGGCUUCAAGUACCAUCUUUCUUGGAAACCUAUUGUCCAACUGUGGGAGGAAGAAAAGAAUUUCUUGGGAGUUGCUCCCCAGGGAGAGACAGAACUAAUCCACCUCCGCUGUUCUUGCGGGGUGUGCUGUUGUGAACAAAACAAGUUCUCUUUUAAAACACAGAAAAAAAACAAGUUGCCAGAAGAAGCCUGACAAAGAACACAUGUAUGUCAACAUUUUUCUUUGCUAGAAGAAAACACACAAGAUCUUUUUCAUUAGUGAAACAGUCAGAAUGCCAAGGUGAAAUAAUUCUGUGGGCAGUUCAGAAGCAGACAACUACAGUUUAUGAAGAUCUUUGUGAAUGUUAGAGACUAGAAUUGAAUAUCCAUGGCAGUCACUUUCAGUUCUGUCUCACAGUUGAGAAUAUUGCUUGAAAAUUAGGUAGAUAUUCCAGUUUCCCUCUCCCUCUUCCCUUUCCCACUUCAUUUUUAGUUAGUGUAUGUUUUGGUUAUCUUAGUGUUUUGUAAAUGCCUCAAAAAACAUGUUUUUUUGAGUACUAAGUGUAUUUCAAGAAAAUCAGCCAAAUUAUCCAGAAUGAAAAGUAAAGCUGAAAUUUAAAAUUCUUCAAAUAGCCUUAAAAAAUCUGCUUACUGAUUUGUUUAUUGAGAAU
rnacentral:lncRNA from 1 species